GUACGUGACGACGCGCCGAGCGACGAGGCGCGGCGUUCUCGCCGGAUGUAGGAACCGACCCGGGGACCGCCGGGCAACCCGGCGCCCCCGAGACGGGGCGAACCACGGUGAAAUGACGGAUCGUCGGCCCCGCGCCGGCGACUCGCCGAAUGAGUUUCUGACCUAUCAACUCGAGACGGCGGGGUAGAGGCCCGCCGCGGUAACGACGGGUAACGGGGAAUCAGGGUUCGAUUCCGGAGAGGGAGCCCGAGAAACGGCUACCACUUCCAAGGAAGGCAGCAGGCGCGCAACUUACCCUAAUCUCGAUUCGAGGAGGUAGUGACAAGAAAUACCGAUGCGGGACCCUACGGGUGCCGCGUUCGGAAUGAGUACGAUUCGAACCACCUAACGAGGAACGAUCGGAGGGCAAGUCUGGUGCCAGCAGCCGCGGUAAUUCCAGCUCCAAUAGCGUACGUUAAAGUUGCUGCAGUUAAAAAGCUCGUAGUUGA
rnacentral:rRNA from 1 species